UACGAAGGGGGCUAGCGUUGUUCGGAUUUACUGGGCGUAAAGCGCACGUAGGCGGAUUGUUAAGUCGGGGGUGAAAUCCUGGAGCUCAACUCCAGAAUUGCCUUCGAUACUGGCUUUCUAGAGGCUGGAAGAGGUUAGUGGAAUUCCCAGUGUAGAGGUGAAAUUCGUAGAUAUUGGGAAGAACACCAGAGGCGAAGGCGGCCUACUGGGCUGCACCUGACGCUGAGCCGCGAAAGCCAGGGGAGCGAACGGG
rnacentral:rRNA from 1 species